CUUCCCUAUAAACGUGUGAAAUAC
rnacentral:snRNA from 1 species